rnacentral:rRNA from 1 species
AUGACCCUAGGUCAAGCGGGACACCAUC